CAGCAGCCGCGGGAAUACGUAGGUGGCAAGCGUUGUCCGGAAUUAUUGGGCGUAAAGGGCUCGCAGGCGGUUUCUUAAGUCUGAUGUGAAAGCCCCCGGAUCAACCGGGGAGGGUCAUUGGAAACUGGGAAACUUGAGUGCAGAAGAGGAGAGUGGAAUUCCACGUGUAGCGGUGAAAUGCGUAAAGAUGUGGAGGAACACCAGUGGCGAAGGUGACUCUCUGGUCUGUAACUGACGCUGAGGAGCGAAAGCGUGGGGAGCGAACAGGAUUAGAUACCCCCGUAGUCCCUGUCUCUUAUAC
rnacentral:rRNA from 1 species